GUCGCGAUGGCUUAACUGUCAGAGCAACUACCCGGUAAGCAGAAGGCCGCUGGCUCGAUUCCGGCUCGCGGUG
rnacentral:tRNA from 1 species